CCCGACGCUCCAGAACGUGCAGGUGUGUUUCAGGCUGAUUGUCCCCCUGCCCCCUGUUUGCUCAGCUGGCACUUUGGACUUAUGGGGUGCCAGGGGGGACUUCUGGUGCUGGGGCUUCAGGUGUCGGUGAAAGAAAUCUAAAACCAGGUGAACUGGGAACAGGACACUGCGUUUCCUUGCAACUCUGCCUAAUCCUUUUAGAUUAUUCCUCAGAAUUGUGUAGAUCAUUCCUCAGAAGAGGUAACAAGCUAAGAAUACACCGAUAGCAGUGAAAUAACUGAAAAUAACUGGCCUGCGUGGAAGAUUGUGUAUUUUUCAGAAGCUUAGCCAAAGUAUUGUCAAAGUUUUCCAAUAAAAGGCUGUUCCUCCCGUA